rnacentral:piRNA from 1 species
AUAAAAGGUUUGAGGCCAAGGC